rnacentral:tRNA from 1 species
GGGCACAUAGCUCAGCGGUAGAGCGUUCGGUUCACAUCCGAAAGGUCUAUGGUUCGAAUCCAUAUGUGCCCA